UACGUAGGUGGCAAGCGUUGUCCGGAUUUACUGGGCGUAAAGAGCGCGCAGGCGGUCGUUCAAGUCGCGUGUGAAAGCCCCCGGCUCAACUGGGGAGGGUCACGCGAUACGGGCGGGCUGGAGGCCAGUAGGGGGACGUGGAAUUCCGGGUGUAGUGGUGGAAUGCGUAGAGAUCCGGAGGAACACCAGCGGCGAAGGCGGCGUCCUGGACUGGUACUGACGCUCAGGAGCGAAAGCGUGGGGAGCGAUCCGG
rnacentral:rRNA from 1 species